rnacentral:rRNA from 1 species
UACGUGGGGAGCAAGCGUUGUUCGGAUUUACUGGGCGUAAAGGGCGCGUAGGCGGCCAGCACAAGUCAGUUGUGAAAUCUCCGGGCUUAACUCGGAAAGGCCAUCUGAUACUGCGCGACUAGAGUGCGGAAGGGGCAACUGGAAUUCUCGGUGUAGCGGUGAAAUGCGUAGAUAUCGAGAGGAACACCAGCGGCGAAGGCGGGUUGCUGGGCCGACACUGACGCUGAGGCGCGAAAGCCAGGGGAGCGAACGGG